rnacentral:rRNA from 1 species
AUUGAACGCUGGCGGCAGGCCUAACACAUGCAAGUCGAACGGUAACAGGAAGCAGCUUGCUGCUUCGCUGACGAGUGGCGGACGGGUGAGUAAUGUCUGGGAAGCUGCCUGAUGGAGGGGGAUAACUACUGGAAACGGUAGCUAAUACCGCAUAAUGUCGCAAGACCAAAGAGGGGGACCUUCGGGCCUCUUGCCAUCGGAUGUGCCCAGAUGGGAUUAGCUUGUUGGUGGGGUAACGGCUCACCAAGGCGACGAUCCCUAGCUGGUCUGAGAGGAUGACCAGCCACACUGGGACUGAGACACGGUCCAGACUCCUACGGGAGGCAGCAGUGGGGAAUAUUGCACAAUGGGCGCAAGCCUGAUGCAGCCAUGCCGCGUGUAUGGAGAAGGCCUUCGGGUUGUAAAGUACUUUCAGCGGGGAGGAAGGGAGUAAAGUUAAUACCUUUGCUCAUUGACGUUACCCGCAGAAGAAGCACCGGCUAACUCCGUG